CGUAAAUCCAUUCAAUCGGACGGCUCACCUGAUACCCGCAAAAAUCAAACAAUUAAGGGUAUUUUAGUAAUCUUAAUGAGUUGAAUGACCUUCUUCUUUCUGUUUCCCGUCUCAUAAUACUUUCUCUCUCUUCCAUCGGCUUUCUCUCUCCUCUGCAAAUCCGCUCCACCAUUCUCGCUCUUCCAACCCCAAAUUGAUCGAGACAAUCAAAUCUUCAUCCAAAAAUCGACAAUAAGUUCUCUGCUGUUCUUUGAUUUUGCAGAAAUUCACAAUUAUUAUCUAUCUCCUUUCGUACUUUUCUCUUUGCUCUCGCAAUUUUGGAGUUCAAUUUCAUCGUUCUUGCAAAUUUCGCAAUUGUGUCAUGGAAGUAUGAAUCCGUGAAGACUUUGGUACGCCUUGGACGUAUUGGACUACCUAAAACAUCACGCCAGAUUUUGCAGAAGCUAGAAGUUGUCGAAUUCAAAAACUACAGCCCUUGCUCUCCUGUUCUGUAGCUGUGAUUGCUCGUUGUUGUUGCCUGUCUUCAGUCUACUCGUUUUGGUUUUGCAUAAUAUGCAAGUAGUUGUAAUGGUUAUGCAUAAUCUGCAGUUAGUUGUUCUGCAAUGGUUAUGCAUAAUCUGCAGUUAGUUGUAAUAGUUCGGCAUAAUCUAUAUAAUCUGCAGUUCGUUGUGAUGGUUGUGCAUAAUCUGUAAUGGUUCUGCAAGUUCAUUUUGUAAUGGUUCUGCAUAAUCUGCAGUUAGUUGUUCUAGUUUCUUCAGUCUUCUAUUCGAUGAUUACUUACUUUCGAAUUAAUUCUAUUUACUUUAUUAAGUUAUAUAUCUACAUUUUAAAUUGAACAAAAUGAAAAGUGCAUGAUAGUGUUCUAACUAUUCCUAAUGUAUCAUUGUAUGGUAAGAUACCAAGAUACCACUA